GACGUUUCGCUCUUUGAACGAAUGUACGUCCAGCCAUGACAAAAUGUCAAAAUAGAUGGUGUCAUAUUGGCAGAAAAUAUAAUAAUUUUGGUAACCUUUUUUGUUGUUGUUUAUAAUGGAUUCGGGAUGUCUGUCGUUACCGACGGGAUAACACCAAUGCUACGACAAUAUACUACUACGACAUUGUAUAACUCCGAAAAAAAAUUUCACUGCCAACCAUAACACUACUCCGAUAUCAAUUACUUCGAACAUAAACUAUACCGAUAUUAUAUUAUAUUACUCCGACGUAUUUGUAUCAAGUGAUUUGCAUUUUGUCAUGGGGAUAACCACAUGUCUACAUGAUAAUUAAUAAGUGAAAACCAUUUUAAUAUAAUAUAAUUUAUAAGUUAUAUAUUUAAAAUAAGAUAUAACAGUAUAACAUUAUAUAGAUUUUAUUAAAGCAUAUUAAACCACACUCCAUGAUGUAAAGGAAAUCUUUUCAGAGUUCAGAACUUCAGAAUUUGUAAAUGAAAAACAGAAGCACACUACACGGUAUCACAGCUAGUACCAUCUACCAUAUCGCCACAGACCUCACAUGUGGCAGGAGGUGUUGAUAUGCAGCUCGCACAAUACCAUCCAUGGCCACAGUCCAACAAUAUGUAUGGCGCCUGGUCUGGUACAUAUUGUACAUGGCGCAUACAUCCAAGGCACUAGCUUCCAGUUAGAUCGAGCAAUGAGAUAUUUUGCAUCCAUUUACCUUUUAAUAAAAAUUGUUAACAUGCAUUAUACAGAUGGGCUGUGUUGUUGGAAAUUCUACUUUGUAAACUCCGCAUUUGUCUAGUCGAAUUGCACACUCAUCACAGCACCAUCCCUGACCGCAAGGCACCAAAAUAUUGGCCGAAUUCACUUGGCUCCAACUUUCAAGGCAAAUGAAACAUCUGUCUACAGGGUCACCUUUAGAAUAAAAAAUCUCUUACGACAUUGUCCAAAACAGCGUGGAUUGUGAUAAACUGCUCGGCAUCAGCAGGAACUCGCGGAAUGACACCAAAUGUGCCAUCAAUUGCCAAGACUCUUGCUUCACAUAGGUACGGAGCAAUGCGUCGUAUAAAUGCCAAAUUUAAAAAAAAUCAAUUCUUCGUUGAUUAUGAACUCCAAGUUUCCAUGAAAAAAUGGUGCAUUAUUGUCUACUGAAUAAAGUAGACGACUUUGCCAUGUUGGUGACACAAUAAUCUCGCCCGUGGCCCUGAGAUUAUCUGGUAUUGGUGGAUUCACACCUCGUCUCACAUAGCGUAUUGCCCGUAGUGCUUGCUCACGGGAAACCUCUAUAGCUGCAUUUGGAGACCUAAAAAAUUGUUAUUCAGAAUUGUCCGUGCAGGUGUCCCCUCUGUUAAAGCACGCCGUCUCAUUGCAUCGUAGAAUGCCCUAAUCUCGAUGUCAUGCCCUACGUGAUGAUUAUGUGGUUGAUAUACUACAAUCGGACUAUUUUCUGGGAAUAUCGACAUUGAUGCAGUAGCAGUACAUCCCCGUUUGUAACGCAAACAUCGAAGCUGUCUAUAAGAUUGAUGAUUUUGCACAUAUGUGUAUCCAACAUCAUCAGCAUAGUUCAAGUGACCUCUGAGCCCUGGAACUCUCCUCGAUGGAGCUCCUUCAUUGCCAAGAAGAAUAUCAACCAUGGUAUGGGGUGACCGAGAUCUCGACCUGAAUCUUUCACCAUGUUCAUCUGAGGAUUUGUGUACAUUGAUUUGAUACAUUUUUAUAUUAAAAAUUACUAAGCAAAUACUAGUUUAAAAUUUGUUAUAAAUCUACAAAUAAUUUUAUUUUUUGUCACUAAAAUGUUGUUGAAUUGUAAUUGAGAAAGUUAACAUAUUUAUUUUUACGUAUAUUAUAUAAAUUUAAAUAUAGAAAUAUAUUCAUCAAU